UGGGGAAUUUUGGACAAUGGGCGAAAGCCUGAUCCAGCAAUGCCGCGUGUGUGAAGAAGGCCUUCGGGUUGUAAAGCACUUUUGUCCGGAAAGAAAUCCUUGGCUCUAAUACAGUCGGGGGAUGACGGUACCGGAAGAAUAAGCACCGGCUAACUACGUGCCAGCAGCCGCGGUAAUACGUAGGGUGCAAGCGUUAAUCGGAAUUACUGGGCGUAAAGCGUGCGCAGGCGGUUUGCUAAGACCGAUGUGAAAUCCCCGGGCUCAACCUGGGAACUGCAUUGGUGACUGGCAGGCUAGAGUAUGGCAGAGGGGGGUAGAAUUCCACGUGUAGCAGUGAAAUGCGUAGAGAUGUGGAGAUACGAUGGCGAAGCAGCCCUGGCAAUACUGACGCUCAUGCACGAAAGCGUGGGGAGCAAACAGGAUUAGAUACCCUGGUAGUCCGCGCCCUAAACGAUGUCAACUAGUUG
rnacentral:rRNA from 1 species